GAUGAACGCUGGCGGCGUGCCUAAUACAUGCAAGUCGAGCGAACAGAUGAGGAGCUUGCUCCUCUCACGUUAGCGGCGGACGGGUGAGUAACACGUGGAUAACCUACCUAUAAGACUGGGAUAACUUCGGGAAACCGGAGCUAAUACCGGAUAAUAUAUUGAACCGCAUGGUUCAAUAGUGAAAGACGGUUUUGCUGUCACUUAUAGAUGGAUCCGCGCCGCAUUAGCUAGUUGGUAAGGUAACGGCUUACCAAGGCAACGAUGCGUAGCCGACCUGAGAGGGUGAUCGGCCACACUGGAACUGAGACACGGUCCAGACUCCUACGGGAGGCAGCAGUAGGGAAUCUUCCGCAAAGGGCGAAAGCCUGACGGAGCAACGCCGCGUGAGUGAUGAAGGUCUUCGGAUCGUAAAACUCUGUUAUUAGGGAAGAACAAAUGUGUAAGUAACUAUGCACGUCUUGACGGUACCUAAUCAGAAAGCCACGGCUAACUACGUG
rnacentral:rRNA from 1 species